rnacentral:rRNA from 1 species
CCUACGGGAGGCAGCAGUGAGGAAUAUUGGUCAAUGGACGAGAGUCUGAACCAGCCAAGUAGCGUGAAGGAUGACUGCCCUAUGGGUUGUAAACUUCUUUUAUAUGGGAAUAAAAUGUUCCACGUGUGGGAUUUUGUAUGUACCAUAUGAAUAAGGAUCGGCUAACUCCGUGCCAGCAGCCGCGGUAAUACGGAGGAUCCGAGCGUUAUCCGGAUUUAUUUGGUUUAAAGGGAGCGUAGGUGGAUUGUUAAGUCAGUUGUGAAAGUUUGCGGCUCAACCGGAGAAUUGCAGUUGAAACUGGCAGUCUUGAGUACAGUAGAGGUGGGCGGAAUUCGUGGUGUAGCGGUGAAAUGCUUAGAUAUCACGAAGAACUCCGAUUGCGAAGGCAGCUCACUGGACUGCAACUGACACUGAGGCUCGAAAGUGUGGGUAUCAAACAGGAUUAGAUACCCUUGUAGUC